rnacentral:rRNA from 1 species
UCGAGCGCACUGGCCCAACUGAUAUGACGUGCUUGCACUGAUUUGACGAUGGAUUACCAGUGAGCGGCGGACGGGUGAGUAACACGUGGGCAACCUGCCCUAAAGUGGGGGAUAACAUUUGGAAACAGGUGCUAAUACCGCAUAACUACGAAAACCACAUGGUUUUCGUAUCAAAGAUGGUUUCGGCUAUCACUUUAGGAUGGGCCCGCGGUGCAUUAGCUAGUUGGUAGGGUAACGGCCUACCAAGGCAAUGAUGCAUAGCCGAGUUGAGAGACUGAUCGGCCACAAUGGAACUGAGACACGGUCCAUACUCCUACGGGAGGCAGCAGUAGGGAAUCUUCCACAAUGGGCGCAAGCCUGAUGGAGCAACACCGCGUGAGUGAAGAAGGGUUUCGGCUCGUAAAACUCUGUUGUUGAAGAAGAACGUGCAUGAGAGUAACUGUUCAUGCAGUGACGGUAUUCAACCAGAAAGUCACGGCUAACUACGUG